rnacentral:rRNA from 1 species
GGGACACGUGGUAUCCUGUCUGAAUAUGGGGGGACCAUCCUCCAAGGCUAAAUACUCCUGACUGACCGAUAGUGAACCAGUACCGUGAGGGAAAGGCGAAAAGAACCCCGGCGAGGGGAGUGAAAAAGAACCUGAAACCGUGUACGUACAAGCAGUGGGAGCCUCUUAAUGGGGUGACUGCGUACCUUUUGUAUAAUGGGUCAGCGACUUAUAUUCUGUAGCAAGGUUAACCGAAUAGGGGAGCCGAAG